GAUGAACGCUAGCGGCAGGCUUAACACAUGCAAGUCGAGGGGUAUAGUUCUUCGGAACUAGAGACCGGCGCACGGGUGCGUAACGCGUAUGCAAUCUACCUUUUACAGAGGGAUAGCCCAGAGAAAUUUGGAUUAAUACCUCAUAGUAUGUGAGAAUCGCAUGGUUUUCACAUUAAAGUUCCAACGGUAAAAGAUGAGCAUGCGUCCCAUUAGCUAGAUGGUAAGGUAACGGCUUACCAUGGCGACGAUGGGUAGGGGUCCUGAGAGGGAGAUCCCCCACACUGGUACUGAGACACGGACCAGACUCCUACGGGAGGCAGCAGUGAGGAAUAUUGGACAAUGGGCGCAAGCCUGAUCCAGCCAUGCCGCGUGCAGGAUGACGGUCCUAUGGAUUGUAAACUGCUUUUGUACAGGAAGAAACACUCCCUCGUGAGGGAGCUUGACGGUAC
rnacentral:rRNA from 2 species